GUGGGGAAUAUUGCACAAUGGGCGCAAGCCUGAUGCAGCGACGCCGCGUGAGGGAUGACGGCCUUCGGGUUGUAAACCUCUGUUAGCAUCGAAGAAGCGAAAGUGACGGUAGGUGCAGAGAAAGCGCCGGCUAACUACGUGCCAGCAGCCGCGGUAAUACGUAGGGCGCGAGCGUUGUCCGGAAUUAUUGGGCGUAAAGAGCUUGUAGGCGGUUGGUCGCGUCUGCUGUGAAAGGCCGGGGCUUAACUCCGGUUUUGCAGUGGGUACGGGCUAACUAGAGUGCAGUAGGGGAGACUGGAAUUCCUGGUGUAGCGGUGGAAUGCACAGAUAUCAGGAGGAACACCGAUGGCGAAGGCAGGUCUCUGGGCUGUAACUGACGCUGAGAAGCGAAAGCAUGGGGAGCGAACAGGAUUAGAAACCCUAGUAGUCC
rnacentral:rRNA from 1 species